rnacentral:rRNA from 1 species
UACAGAGGUCCCAAGCGUUUGUUCGGAUUCAUUGGGCGUAAAGGGUGCGUAGGCGGCGCGGUAAGUCGGGUGUGAAAUCUCGGAGCUUAACUCCGAAACUGCAUUCGAUACUGCCGUGCUUGAGGACUGGAGAGGAGACUGGAAUUUACGGUGUAGCGGUGAAAUGCGUAGAUAUCGUAAGGAAGACCAGUGGCUGAAGGCGGGGUCUCUGGACAGUUCCUGACGCUGAGGCACGAAGGCCAGGGGAGCAAACGGGG